GGGGAUGUCGCUCAGUUGGAGAGUGCUUGCCUCACAUGCACAACACCAUGGGUUCAAUCCCCAGCACCACCA
rnacentral:tRNA from 1 species